CCCGAUCCUCCCACCCUUUGUGUACCUACCUCUGUUGCUUUGGCGGGCCGCGGUCCUCCGCGGCUGCCCCCUCCCCGGGGGGGUGGCCAGCGCCCGCCAGAGGACCAUCAAACUCCAGUCAGUAAACGAUGCAGUCUGAAAAACAUUCAAUAAACUAAAACUUUCAACAACGGAUCUCUUGGUUCUGGCAUCGAUGAAGAACGCAGCGAAAUGCGAUAAGUAAUGUGAAUUGCAGAAUUCAGUGAAUCAUCGAAUCUUUGAACGCACAUUGCGCCCUUUGGUAUUCCGAAGGGCAUGCCUGUUCGAGCGUCAUUACAACCCUCAAGCUCUGCUUGGUAUUGGGCACCGUCCUUUGCGGGCGCGCCUCAAAGACCUCGGCGGUGGCGUCUUGCCUCAAGCGUAGUAGAACAUACAUCUCGCUUCGGAGCGCAGGGCGUCGCCCGCCGGACGAACCUUCUGAACUUUCUCAAGGU
rnacentral:rRNA from 1 species